GAUGGUAGAGCCCCGUCAUCAGGAGAAAGAGGAGGGCUCCCUGGAUAACGACGACGACAGCUAGGUCUCUGGAAUAGAGAUGCAAAAAAAGACAAAAAGAAACUAUUAGAACAGCCAUGAGGAUCCAGGAUCUGCAAGGGCUGCAGCGGGGGUCCUGGACUGCACCUUUCACCACCAACUGUCUCAGGACUUGCUCCCAGUUUGGUUCUCCAAGACUGCAAGGAGUAAGAGGGACUGCAGCAGCAGGGGACCCAUCGUCACCCUCAGGUCCGCACAAUCAAAUGGUUGCUGAGAUCAGGCGGAAGACAAAACUGAGUGAAGCAGGGUUGAGCCCUCAGUAACAGGAGAGAGAGACACAGCCAGGGGAAGCUUCACGCCCAUGGCCCGUCGGAACAGGGCAGCAGGAACUUUGCUCCUUCUGGCCGUUGCCAUGGAAAAAAGCUUCCUGGCUCCUGCUCCCCCCAGGCUCCCGAAAAGACAGAAGAGGAAUUGAAGAGGAAUUGAAGGCGGGAUCAAUAGCCCUUUCCUAUGCGAAAAGAGCCCCAGGGGCACUGGGUCUAGCCCUGGCUUUCCAGGGACAGAAAGAUGAGCAGCCCCAGAAACUGGAUCUCUCCAGAGCCAGGACCAGGCUGGGAAGGCAGGGCUGACCACACUGUGGUUUGGGUCACUGGCAAUGCAGCCGGGUAUACUGUCCCCAGCAAGGAGAGUCUGGAAGACCAUGCUUAGCUCAGGGACCAAGGCUCUGAGCACACAGAGCAGGUUCCCUCAGAAUCACCUUAUUAGAAUAUGUGAAGGGGUCAAACGAGGAGACAGCUUUGGGGUGGUGGGCACGUUCUUCCUCUUAGAACCGGGGACCCUCCUCAGAUGGUGAAGCCUCUAGUCCCUAGGCUUCCUCUAGGCCAAGGCAGAGUGUCAUCGCUUCCCCUGCGCACUGUUUGGCCCACUGGUCUACUUACCCGACUGGGAGGGGCAGGGAGGACCUAAGGGAAGUAACUGUGUGGGAAGUCCCUGCUGGCUGCUUAGGGAAGAUGGGGCAGGAGGCUAGGAAUCUAGGACCCCUUUCUGGCCUUGCUGAUAUUCAGGUCUCUCCCUAUCUUAGACUGUUAAAUAUAUCACACCUGAAAUACUGAAAAGAAAAAAAAAAAAAAAAACAAGACAGAAAA